rnacentral:rRNA from 1 species
CAUGCAUGUCUCAGUGCAUGCCGAAUUAAGGUGAAACCGCGAAUGGCUCAUUAAAUCAGUUAUGGUUCAUUAGAUUGUACCAACAUUUACUUGGAUAACUGUGGUAAUUCUAGAGCUAAUACAUGCAAAACAGAGUCCCGACCAGCGAUGGAAGGGACGCAUUUAUUAGAUCAAAACCAAUCGGUGGCGGGUGGGCAACCAUCCGUCCGCCGUUUAUUUUGGUGACUCUGAAUAACUUUGUGCUGAUCGCACGGUCUAAGCACCGGCGACGCAUCUUUCAAAUGUCUGCCUUAUCAACUGUCGAUGGUAGGUUCUGCGCCUACCAUGGUUGUAACGGGUAACGGGGAAUCAGGGUUCGAUUCCGGAGAGGGAGCCUGAGAAACGGCUACCACAUCCAAGGAAGGCAGCAGGCGCGCAAAUUACCCACUCCCAGCACGGGGAGGUAGUGACGAAAAAUAACGAUACGGGACUCAUCCGAGGCCCCGUAAUCGGAAUGAGUACACUUUAAAUCCUUUAACGAGGAUCAAUUGGAGGGCAAGUCUGGUGCCAGCAGCCGCGGUAAUUCCAGCUCCAAUAGCGUAUAUUAAAGUUGUUGCGGUUAAAAAGCUCGUAGUUGAAUCUGUGUCGCACACUGUCGGUUCACCGCUCGCGGUGUUUAACUGGCAUGAUGUGGGACGUCCUACCGGUGGGCUCAGCCUCUUCGGGGGCGGCC